rnacentral:rRNA from 1 species
AUUGAACGCUGGCGGCAUGCCUUACACAUGCAAGUCGAACGGCAGCAUGGAGAGCUUGCUCUCUGAUGGCGAGUGGCGAACGGGUGAGUAAUGCAUCGGAACGUACCGUGUAGUGGGGGAUAACGUAGCGAAAGUUACGCUAAUACCGCAUACGACCUGAGGGUGAAAGCAGGGGAUCGCAAGACCUUGCGUUAUACGAGCGGCCGAUGUCAGAUUAGCUAGUUGGUGAGGUAAAGGCUCACCAAGGCGACGAUCUGUAGCGGGUCUGAGAGGAUGAUCCGCCACACAGGGACUGAGACACGGCCCAGACUCGUACGGGAGGCAGCAGUGGGGAAUUUUGGACAAUGGGGGCAACCCUGAUCCAGCAAUGCCGCGUGAGUGAAGAAGGCCUUCGGGUUGUAAAGCUCUUUUGUCAGGGAGGAAACACCGGCUCUAACACAGUCCGGGAAUGACGGUACCUGAAGAAUAAGCACCGGCUAACUACGUGCCAGCAGCCGCCGUAA